rnacentral:tRNA from 1 species
GGUGAGGUGGGAGAGAGGCCGAAUCCACUAGUUUGCUAAACUGGCGUGCGUUGUUAAGAUGCACCGAGGGUUCGAAUCCCUCCUUCACCG